rnacentral:rRNA from 1 species
GAUGAACGCUAGCGGCAGGCCUAACACAUGCAAGUCGAGGGGUAGAACACUUCGGUGUUUGAAACCGGCGCACGGGUGCGUAACGCGUAUGCAAUCUACCUUGUACAGGGGAAUAGCCCAGAGAAAUUUGGAUUAAUGCCCCAUAGUAUAUAACCUUCGCAUGUUGGUUAUAUUAAAGUUCCAACGGUACAAAAUGAGCAUGCGUCCCAUUAGUUAGUUGGUAAGGUAACGGCUUACCAAGACGAUGAUGGGUAGGGGUCCUGAGAGGGAGAUCCCCCACACUGGUACUGAGACACGGACCAGACUCCUACGGGAGGCAGCAGUGAGGAAUAUUGGUCAAUGGGCGCAAGCCUGAACCAGCCAUGCCGCGUGCAGGAAGACGGUCCUAUGGAUUGUAAACUGCUUUUAUACAGGAAGAAACCCGCCCACGUGUGGGAGAUUGACGGUACUGUAGGAAUAAGGAUCGGCUAACUCCGUGCCAGCCGCCGCGGUAAAAC